GAUGAACGCUGGCGGCGUGCCUAAUACAUGCAAGUCGAACGAAACUUCUUUAUCACCGAGUGCUUGCACUCACCGAUAAAGAGUUGAGUGGCGAACGGGUGAGUAACACGUGGGCAACCUGCCCCAAAGAGGGGGAUAACACUUGGAAACAGGUGCUAAUAACGCAUAAACAUAGUUACCGCAUGGUAACUAUGUAAAAGGUGGCUAUAAUACCGCUUUUGGAUGGGCCCGCGGCGCAUUAGCUAGUUGGUAGGGUAAAGGCUUACCAAGGCAAUGAUGCGUAGCCGAAUUGAGAGGUUGAUCGGCCACAUUGGGACUGAGACACGGCCCAAACUCCUACGGGAGGCAGCAGUAGGGAAUCUUCCACAAUGGGCGAAAGCCUGAUGGAGCAACGCCGCGUGGGUGAAGAAGGUCUUCGGAUCGUAAAACCCUGUUGUUAGAGAAGAAAGUGCGUGAGAGUAACUGUUCACGUUUCGACGGUAUCUAACCAGAAAGCCACGGCUAACUACGUG
rnacentral:rRNA from 1 species